rnacentral:rRNA from 1 species
UACGGAGGGUGCGAGCGUUAAUCGGAAUUACUGGGCGUAAAGCGCGCGUAGGCGGUUUGUUAAGCGAGGUGUGAAAUCCCCGGGCUCAACCUGGGAACUGCACUUCGAACUGGCAGGCUAGAGUACAGAAGAGGGUGGUGGAAUUUCCAGUGUAGCGGUGAAAUGCGUAGAGAUUGGAAGGAACAUCAGUGGCGAAGGCGGCCACCUGGACUGAUACUGACGCUGAGGUGCGAAAGCGUGGGGAGCAAACAGG